rnacentral:rRNA from 1 species
GGGUCCGCGUUGUAAUCUGUAGAGGAUGGUUCGGCGAGGGCUCCCGCCUAAGUCCCCUGGAACGGGGCGUCAUAGAGGGUGAGAAUCCCGUAUGCGGUGGGUUGCCUUAGCCAUGUGAACCUCCUUCGACGAGUCGAGUUGUUUGGGAAUGCAGCUCUAAAUGGGAGGUAAAUUUCUUCUAAAGCUAAAUACCGGCCAGAGACCGAUAGCGCACAAGUAGAGUGAUCGAAAGAUGAAAAGCACUUUGGAAAGAGAGUUAAAAAGUACGUGAAAUUGUUGAAAGGGAAGCGCUUGCAACCAGACUUGUCCGCAGUUGCUCAGCCGGUCUCCUGACCGGCGUACUCUUCUGCGGCCAGGCCAGCAUCAGUUCGGGCGGUCGGAUAAAGGCCUCGGGAAUGUGGCUCCUCUCGGGGAGUGUUAUAGCCCGGGGCGGAAUGCGGCCAGCCUGGACUGAGGAUCUCGCUUCGGCAAGGAUGCUGGCGUAAUGGUUGUAAGCGGCCCGUCUUGAAACACGGACCAAGGAGUCUAACAUCUAUGCGAGUGUUUGGGUGUCAAACCCAUACGCGUAAUGAAAGUGAACGGAGGUGGGAACCCGCAAGGGCGCACCAUCGGCCGAUCCUGAUGUCUUCGGAUGGAUUUGAGCAAGAGCAUAGCUGUUGGGACCCGAAAGAUGGUGAACUAUGCCUGAAUAGGGUGAAGCCAGAGGAAACUCUGGUGGA